rnacentral:rRNA from 1 species
GAUGAACGCUGGCGGCGUGCCUAAUACAUGCAAGUCGAGCGAACGGACGAGAAGCUUGCUUCUCUGAUGUUAGCGGCGGACGGGUGAGUAAUACGUGGAUAACCUACCUAUAAGACUGGGAUAACUUCGGGAAACCGGAGCUAAUACCGGAUAAUAUUUUGAACGGCAUGGUUCAAAAGUGAAAGACGGUCUUGCUGUCACUUAUAGAUGGAUCCGCGCUGCAUUAGCUAGUUGGUAAGGUAACGGCUUACCAAGGCGACGAUGCAUAGCCGACCUGAGAGGGUGAUCAGCCACACUGGAACUGAGACACGGUCCAGACUCCUACGGGAGGCAGCAGUAGGGAAUCUUCCGCAAUGGGCGAAAGCCUGACGGAGCAACGCCGCGUGAGUGAUGAAGGUCUUCGGAUCGUAAAACUCUGUUAUUAGGGAAGAACAUAUGUGUAAGUAACUGUGCACAUCUUGACGGUACCUAAUCAGAAAGCCACGGCUAACUACGUG